rfam:Loktanella sp. S4079 contig0002, whole genome shotgun sequence.
GGCGCGGUAGCUCAGUUGGUUAGAGCGAACGACUCAUAAUCGUUAGGUCGGGAGUUCAAAUCUCCCCCACGCCA